GUUUUGCUACUGUUCUUUGUAUUGUUUGAUUGCAAGAAUAAUACAGUCUUGUUUCCAGUAAUCUGGGUGUGUGAGAGUGUUGUUUUUGUGAGAGAUUGAUUUCUUACCUAAAGAAAUCUAUCAAAUUAUGAGCAAACCUUUAAAUAUUUUUAAUGUUCAUAACAUAGGUUAGUUCUAAACUCUAUUUAUAACGUCGCAGACAUGUUUGCUAGUGUUUUUUCAAACUCUUUUUUAACUAGUAUGUCUCUAUUGUCAAUGCAAUAAUCUUUUAUUAUUUAUUUGCAGUGUUACUGUUUGUUCUCUAUCUCUCUUAAUCAUGUAAAUUAUUUUAUCAUAUAUUUCAUUCUCUUCUGUACAACUUUUAUAAAAGGUUAUGUAAAUAUGAUUCCUCAUUGUUGGAAGUUCCAACUAGAGAUAAGGUUAAUUUAUAGAGUAUAUAAGUGGGUACAAACCUCAUCUUACAAGUCGGUUUUGUGGGGUUGAGUUAGGUUUAAAGUCCACUUCUUAAUACUCAUUUUAACUGCUAGUAUAUAGUUGACAUUUUGGCCUGAUUCUACUAAUUCAAAAGUAAAUGUAAUUGUAAGUACCAUUAUAGAAGAUCAUAUAAAACCUAGAUUUUUCAAUAUGUUUACUUAGUUAAAUAUCACCUUUAACUUAAAAUCCAAAACAUUCUAAAAUUAAAUUUACAGCUAUAAACAGAAAACUGUGUAAAUGACAUAUAUAUCUAUCUAGCGAGAGUUAACAUAAAAGUUAUUUUGACUCUAUUAUAACUGAAAUUUUAAUCUACUAUUUUCUAAGCAAUUACUAUGGCAUUGCAUCCUGGUAUAAUUUGACAAGGUGCAAUGCUACAAAGAAGCUGCUAACAAGCAAAGUCAGUUAAGUAUCUGUGACACGCUUUAGAAUAAUAAUAUAUAUUAGAUUUUGAUGUAUCCAAGUAUCUGACACACUUAUUGGAUAUUGAUGUCUCUGUCAUAAUUGUAUAGGCAAAAGCUACGAUGUAUCAUGUCAACCAUUUACUGUGUAUCAUGUCAACCAUUCACUGUAUCUUUGGUUUUUAGCUCAAGUAAAACCUAGCCGAAUGUAACACAAAUCCAAAAUAAAAUGUUUCACAUUGUUAAGAGUUUCGUGUUCAAUGGCAAGUUACUUCUUAUUCUAUAGUUUGCCUCUGUUUUUACUCAUUUUUCCAGAUUUGCACAUUUUCCCUUCUUGCUAGCUUAACUCAGUUUUACAUUAUUUUGCCUCUGUUAAUCUUCAGAAAGUUGUUCAAUAGUUUUUGGCGUCUCGAAGGAUAAGUGCCAAGUUUGAAUGAAUAAGCUACUCAUGCUUUAAGUGUUCAACUGUGCUAGUUUGGCUGAUUUCAUGGUCUCAUCAAUGAAAGAUUCUGAUCACCAAAGGUAUCUUAGAUGUUUGCAACAAGUGAAGCAAGAGCCUUGUCAAGAAUAAGCUUGAAACACUGUUCAGGCUUGAGCAACAGAUUAUGACAGUUGGUGGGUCAAUCCCUACGAAACUGAGUUUCAGUGGGUGACUGGGUGGGUUUGUAGAGAUGCUUGUGUUAUGAUUCUCAUCUUUGUUAAAGAUUAUCUUUUAUCUUAUGUCCAUGGUGAAUGUACGGUUUUUGUGAAGAUAGCAUCCAUCCAUUGCAUAAUUUAUAAUCUAUUGCAGGCUUUAAUGAAGGAUGAUAGCAUCAUCAAAUGAUCUUUGUCUCUUGUAUUUCUCUUUCAAACAAG